GACAAGCUCAGCAUUAGAGCACAGGACUUAUAUGUCUGGGGCCCCAGGUUCAAUCCCUGGAAUUGUCA
rnacentral:tRNA from 1 species